rnacentral:rRNA from 1 species
UACGGAGACUGCGAGCGUUACUCGGAUUCACUGGGCGUAAAGGGUGCGUAGGCGGCAUUGUGUGUCAGGUGUGAAAUCCCGGAGCUUAACUCCGGAACUGCGCCUGAAACUGCAUUGCUAGAGUAUCGGAGGGGUAAGCGGAAUUCCUAGUGUAGCGGUGAAAUGCGUAGAUAUUAGGAGGAACACCAAAGGCGAAGGCAGCUUACUGGACGAUAACUGACGCUGAGGCACGAAAGCGUGGGGAGCAAAAGGG